rnacentral:rRNA from 2 species
AUUCCCCUAGUAACGGCGAGUGAAGCGGGAACAGCUCAAAUUUGAAAUCUGGCCCUCGGGUCCGAAUUGUAAUUUGCAGAGGAUGCUUUUGGUUAGGUACUUUCCGAGUUCCCUGGAACGGGACGCCUUAGAGGGUGAGAGCCCCGUACGGUUGGAUACCGAGCCUUUGUAAAGCUCCUUCGACGAGUCGAGUAGUUUGGGAAUGCUGCUCUAAAUGGGAGGUAAAUUUCUUCUAAAGCUAAAUACCGGCCAGAGACCGAUAGCGCACAAGUAGAGUGAUCGAAAGAUGAAAAGCACUUUGAAAAGAGGGUUAAAUAGCACGUGAAAUUGUUGAAAGGGAAGCGUUUAUGACCAGACUUUUUCCAGGCGAAUCAUCCGGUGUUCUCACCGGUGCACUUCGUCUGGUGGAGGCCAGCAUCGGUUUUCGUAGAGGGAUAAAAGCUUUAGGGAUGUGAUUCCCCCGGGAAUGUUAUAGCCUAUUGUAUCAUACCUUUAUGGGGACCGAGGUUGGCGCUCUGCAAGGAUGCUGGCGUAAUGGUCAUCAACGACCCGUCUUGAAACACGGACCAAGGAGUCGAACAUUUGUGCGAGUGUUUGGGUGUUAAACCCUCACGCGUAAUGAAAGUGAACGGAGGUGAGAGCCCUUACGGGUGCAUCAUCGACCGAUCCUGAUGGUUUCGGAUGGAUUUGAGUAAGAGCAUAACUGUUCGGACCCGAAAGAUGGUGAACUAUGCGUGGAUAGGGUGAAGCCAGAGGAAACUCUGGUGGAGGCUCGCAGCGGUUCUGACGUGCAAAUCGAUCGUCAAAUCUGCGCAUGGGGGCGAAAGACU